ACUAAAAUAAAGGAGUGUUUAUAUACCUAAUAUUUAUAUACCUAAUAUUUAUAUACCUAAACAAUUGCCUUGUUUGAGGGAGUACUGCUUCAAGAGCCAAUAUUUCCAAAAGCGAAGAAAAACCACAUUUGUCGUAAUCGUCAUUUCCUCCACUGUGUCUGUAGGCAGCCGUAAGGACCUUAAUGAAGAAUCCCAAAUCUUCUAUUUUUGUUCUUAAAGAUGUCUCGGACACAUUCAGCUUUCAACAUUUCAAAACCUGCUUAUAACCAAUUUCCACAGGAAGCCCCACUAUUAGAAUGAGCAUGACAGAGGGAGUGGUCUGGGUAAGUGAGAGAAUGGACAAAAAUUACAGGAGUGACAGUCUGUGGAAACUCCACUUUUGGAGAUCUUUGAAAGCUGCCUGGGCAUGGUCCUGAACAACCUGCACCUGGGAGACUGACUUGAGCAGGGGUUGGACCAGGUGGACCUAAGGUCCCUGCCAACACAAAGCAUUCUGUGAUAAUUUUGGAGUGUUCAGAAAGAAGUCAGUCUGAAAUAAUGUCCUCUGUGUGUGUUUGUGUGUCCAUGUGUGCACAUGAACACGAGUCCCAGGAUGUGAAGGGAAAAGCUUUCUCUAAAGACUUCUUUUGUUUUUUUUUUAUCCUGUAUUAAUAUAAUAACCAAGACACAUAGAUGGAAGACAGUGAAUUAUUUACUUUGUUUCCAAUCACUGACAACUUCAGUAAAAUAUUUUGCUACUAUUUAAAAUAAUAUUUGCUAAUAGCUAAUGCCCAGAUCUUAUUUUGUUUUCUAAGCACAGGCAACACUGUGUACUUCAGCUCCUCAGCACAACAGAGCAGUCAAUCUGACACUUUUCACCACCAGCCCCCUAUGAGAAUAAGUACACCCAGAAUAUCAAUACUUCACUGCAAACAUUCACUCCUAAUUAGAAGGAUAAAGAGUGUCAAGCUCAGAAGCACUAGAUACUAGAUGGGAAGAUUUAGGCCCCCCUCUCUUAAUUAGCAACUACUUCAGGAACAUGGACUCUUUAUGUGCUGCAGCUGUACAAGCAGGGUUUAAAGCAUGACAGAAGCCAUAGGAACACUGUGCUAUGCUUUGUUCAAGGCUAUGGGUUGUUUUCUCAAAGCAGCUCUUCCUCUAACAGCUGUAAGGAGAAGGUGAACAACACACUGCCAGCUUUGGUCACAAUAUACUGGAAAGGAAUUUCUCAAACAUUGAACCAUCGCUGGCAUUUUUGGGAAGAAUGA
rnacentral:lncRNA from 1 species